rnacentral:rRNA from 1 species
UACGUAGGGUGCAAGCGUUGUCCGGAAUUAUUGGGCGUAAAGAGCUCGUAGGCGGUUUGUCGCGUCUGCUGUGAAAAUCCAGGGCUUAACCCUGGACCUGCAGUGGGUACGGGCAGACUAGAGUGCGGUAGGGGAGAUCGGAAUUCCUGGUGUAGCGGUGAAAUGCGCAGAUAUCAGGAGGAACACCGGUGGCGAAGGCGGAUCUCUGGGCCAUUACUGACGCUGGAGGAGCGAAAGCGUGGGGAGCGAACAGGA